rnacentral:rRNA from 1 species
CUGUAAGCCUGUGAAGGUGUACUGUGAGGUAUGCUGGAGGUAUCAGAAGUGCGAAUGCUGACAUAAGUAACGAUAAAGCGGGUGAAAAGCCCGCUCGCCGGAAGACCAAGGGUUCCUGUCCAACGUUAAUCGGGGCAGGGUGAGUCGACCCCUAAGGCGAGGCCGAAAGGCGUAGUCGAUGGGAAACAGGUUAAUAUUCCUGUACUUGGUGUUACUGCGAAGGGGGGACGGAGAAGGCUAUGUUGGCCGGGCGACGGUUGUCCCGGUUUAAGCGUGUAGGCUGGUUUUCCAGGCAAAUCCGGAAAAUCAAGGCUGAGGCGUGAUGACGAGGCACUACGGUGCUGAAGCAACAAAUGCCCUGCUUCCAGGAAAAGCCUCUAAGCAUCAGGUAACAUCAAAUCGUACCCCAAACCGACACAGGUGGUCAGGUAGAGAAUACCAAGGCGCUUGAGAGAACUCGGGUGAAGGAACUAGGCAAAAUGGUGCCGUAACUUCGGGAGAAGGCACGCUGAUAUGUAGGUGAAGUCCCUCGCGGAUGGAGCUGAAAUCAGUCGAAGAUACCAGCUGGCUGCAACUGUUUAUUAAAAACACAGCACUGUGCAAACACGAAAGUGGACGUAUACGGUGUGACGCCUGCCCGGUGCCGGA